UGGGGCGGUGAUAGCCUCCCCUGUCCUCCCUUGUACACCCAGACCCCCGCUGGGGCUCACCCACACCUCUGUCCCUGCUCCCACGGUGCCCUAACUCGAGGAUGCACCAGGCCGGUUGGGGUACCCUGGGUGGAGGAGGGCAACUGGGCAGAUCUGCCCCUCCGGGCUGGGGAAAGACUUGCUUUGGCCGGCAAGAGGUAGGCCCCAAAUCCCCGCCCAAAGGGCAGGGCGACUGCCACCUUCCCUGACCCCAGAGCCCGGAAAGGGAUCCAAGGCCUUGGCCAGAAGCUGCCCAGACCCUCUGGUGCCAUGAGCACAUCUGUCCCUCCUACCCUCAUCCCCCCUCAGGACUGAACCUGGGCACCUCAGGAGCCCUGGCCGUCCAGCUUCCUCCUGAGAUCACUCCGUGCAAAGCCAGAAGAGACUAUUCCCUCCCAGGUGCUCUGUGGAAACACUUGGGAUGCGUACCCCAUCAGCCGGCCCCGCCACCCCUACCCCCCACCUCCCAGCACAGCCCAACAUGGGGUAGGGCCCCUCAAGUUGUUCUCUCGCCGCCUGUGGUCCUGGCCCGCGCGCUGUGGGUGCCGAUGGCCGGGCCCUGGCCUGCCAGGAGCUCUUGCCUUCACCCUGGAGGCCCCGUGGCGUCCAGGCCCCCAGACCAGCCUCAAGUCUGGGUCUCGGGCACUGGGGCCCCUCCCCGUGUGUCAGCUGCUUCCUGCACUUAACCACGUCUGGUGUCCCUGGAACCCACACCUGCGUUGAACCCUGCCUGUCGAGGGCCCUGUGUGGCUCCACUGCCCUCAGGGCUGUCCCCACUAAGCGAGCCCGCGUGCACAUGGGCAGUCAGAGGGCAGAGAGGGAGAGAAGCUGGCCCCGGGGCCCCGUGUGGGGUGAGGGCAGUGAGGGGCUGGGACGGAUGCCUGCAGGCCCCAGCGGGGUGCCACCAGUCUGAGCCCUGAUGCGCUGCCCUCACCGGUGUCUGUGGGAUGCAGCCCCCACCGAGGUCAUUCGGAGCCACCCACACGCUGCCCCUGCUUGUGGAGGGGAGAUGGCGGGCAGUAGCUCACCUGUGUGUCCCUUUCCACCACGUGGCUGCUAAAGACGUCCCCUCUCGUGCACAAAGGUAAAACGUGCUGACAGCUUGCCAAUCUGUUUUCAGAAUGAUGGCUUUCGUGGUACGUAAUUUAUGUGAUUGAUAAUGACAAGAUUUAAUCUUAGUUGUGGAGCCCCUCUCCUACAGGACAUCUCUCAGGCUACCGAGCCCGGAUUUCAUCCUGAAAGUGACAUGUAACCUGUGUGCCCAGUUGUGCACCCACAUCCACAGACCUCUCUCCAAGCCCCCGGUUCCCACCUUCCCCUCUGUCUCCUGCCGCCCCUGGAGCGCUGGGACACUUUCUCCAUGUCUAUUCUAUGAGCGUCCACUUCUCCCCACACCCACAGGGUGGCCAGUGCCUGCUUGCAGCUGUGCUCCCAGGAACCAUUCCCUUCCUGUGGAUCCUCAGGACACCCUUGAGCGAGGGGGUAUGAGAGCAUUAGACCGCAGGACACCCUGGCUGGGUGUGGGUCCAAGCCCCAGCUCUGUCCAGAUCUCUGCUCACACUGAGCUGACCCCUGGAGCACCAGGCUGGGAAAUCUUCCUUUUCCAUCAUCUGGUUCGCACGGGCUCUCCCCGCAGCCCUGGUGGGAGCAGAGGGACAGGCGCACACAGCAGGGGUGGGUGACACGGUGGUGCAAACUGCCCGUUUGAUCUGGAACGUUCCACCUCCACCCUCUCACGCAUCCCUGCUGACUUGGCGGGGCUGAGACGGCCCUGCUCGUGGUAGGCAGGUCUGCCACCUGGUGGCCCGUGGCCGUCUUUAGAGAUCUGGGCAGGUCACCGUCCACACACCCCAGCCCUGAGGACGACUGGGUCUACAUCUGGCACAGCAGCUGACGCGGGGCUCCCGCCGGGCCGGUCUGCAGCACUCCACCGUCUCUGCCAAGGUCCUGGGUCCGGGGGUCAGACUGGUGAAUGAAAUGGGGCUCUGGUGGGGGCCAGCACCGCUGCACCCGUUAGGUUCGAGGGUGGCACUGAUUUCUGCUGCCCUUCAGGAUGAGACACUGUUCUUUAUUUCUCUCCCGGUGUGUGUGUGGGGGGGGGGGGAAGGGGCAAUUGCAGACGUCUCCACCUGGCUGGCCCCACCACCACGGCUCUGACCCUGAGGGCCACUGAUCCAGUGUGAGGAUGAGUCAACCACCCUUUCUUUCUUUUCCGGUAACUCGUCUGAGCAGUGGAAACUGCCUCCCUCCUGGGGAGUUCCAGGGGCCCCCCUGAGAGUUUGAUUUGGGCCUGGAGCCCCUGAUUCUUUGGACCCGAUGUGCCCGACCUGAAAAAGAGGCCAGGAUGAAGCUUUGGCUGUUGAGAUACUUACCUGGGCCCUGAGUCCAACAGUAUUUAAGAAGUGCGAGUCUCAUGUCUUCAGGGUCCGGUACAAAGAAGCCAGCCUCGGCUGCCGUGCGGACGCUCUGAGGGAUGUGCUUUGGCCCAGGAACCUCGGGCGGCAGCAUCCUUCCCCCGGGGUUCCACGCUUUCAGUCCCUGGAUCUGUUCCGAGACCAGCUCACAGUGCGGGCUCAGGGACCUGCUUUCCCAUCCCAGCCUCCUUGGCUGGAAGAAGCUGAGGAACAUCGUUUGCCUGUCCUUCUCAUGGCCACCGGGCCAUCCCAGCAGGCAGUUAUUAAGCCCACUUGACCUUCACAUCCUACUGUCAUUGCUGUUUCCCUGUCAGCCAUGCCCCACCGUCCACAGCACUGAGUGACACGGCUGGCCCUCACCCUCCAUCUGUGACAGCGAUGUCCUACCGUUCUGCCUGGCAGAGCCAUAUGGUGGCUUCUCCAGCUUCACCUGCUCCGUCCUGGGAUUCAGGACGUGAUGAUAAAACGAUGUGAUCGGCUAUAAAAACUCUGUACCCCGGCUCUUGGGGGCCGCACUCCGAUCAAAAGUGUUGGUCCCGAUCGGUCGGCCUUGCCUCUCAUUGCAAUAAACUUUGUUGUGACUGUCA